rnacentral:rRNA from 1 species
GACGAACGCUGGCGGCGUGCCUAAUACAUGCAAGUUGAGCGCUGAAGGUUGGUACUUGUACCAACUGGAUGAGCAGCGAACGGGUGAGUAACGCGUGGGGAAUCUGCCUUUGAGCGGGGGACAACAUUUGGAAACGAAUGCUAAUACCGCAUAAAAACUUUAAACACAAGUUUUAAGUUUGAAAGAUGCAAUUGCAUCACUCAAAGAUGAUCCCGCGUUGUAUUAGCUAGUUGGUGAGGUAAAGGCUCACCAAGGCGAUGAUACAUAGCCGACCUGAGAGGGUGAUCGGCCCCAUUGGGACUGAGACACGGCCCAAACUCCUACGGGAGGCAGCAGUAGGGAAUCUUCGGCCAUUGACGAAAGUCUGACCGAGCAACGCCGCGUGAGUGAAGAAGGUUUUCGGAUCGUAAAACUCUGUUGGUAGAGAAGAACGUUGGUGAGAGUGGAAAGCUCAUCAAGUGACGUUAACUACCCAGAAAGGGACGGCUAACUACGUG